CGAAAGCCUGACGGAGCAACGCCGCGUGAGGGACAAAGGCCUUUGGGCUGUAAACCUCUUUUCUCAAGGAAGAAGAUCUGACGGUACUUGAGGAAUAAGCCACGGCUAAUUCCGUGCCAGCAGCCGCGGUAAUACGGGAGUGGCAAGCGUUAUCCGGAAUUAUUGGGCGUAAAGCGUCCGCAGGCAGCCGUCUAAGUCUGUUGUUAAAUCGUGGAGCUCAACUCCAUCACGGCAAUGGAAACUGUUCGGCUUGAGUAUGGUAGGGGCAGAGGGAAUUUCCGGUGUAGCGGUGAAAUGCGUAGAUAUCGGGAAGAACACCAGUGGCAAAAGCGCUCUGCUGGGCCAUUACUGACGCUCAUGGACGAAAGCCAGGGGAGCGAAAGGGAUUAGAUACCCCUGUAGUCCUGGCCGUAAACGAUGAACACUAGAUGUUGGGGGAAUCGACCCCCUCGGUGUCGUAGCUAACGCGUUAAGUGUUCCGCCUGGGGAGUACGCACGCAAGUGUGAAACUCAAAGGAAUUGACGGGGGACCGCACAAGCGGUGGAGUAUGUGGUUUAAUUCGAUGCAACGCGAAGAACCUUACCAAGGCUUGACAUCCUGCGAAUCUCUAAGAAACUAGAGAGUGCCUUCGGGAACGCAGUGACAGGUGGUGCAUGGCUGUCGUCAGCUCGUGUCGUGAGAUGUUGGGUUAAGUCCCGCAACGAGCGCAACCCACGUUUUUAGUUGCCAGCAUUAAGUUGGGCACUCUAGAAAGACUGCCGGUGACAAACCGGAGGAAGGUGUGGACGACGUCAAGUCAUCAUGCCCCUUACGCCUUGGGCUACACACGUACUACAAUGCUGCAGACAAAGAGUAGCGAUCUUGCAAAAGUUAGCUAAUCUCAUAAACUGCGGCUCAGUUCAGAUCGUAGGCUGCAACUCGCCUACGUGAAGGAGGAAUCGCUAGUAAUCGCAGGUCAGCAUACUGCGGUGAAUACGUUCCCGGUCCUUGUACACACCGCCCGUCACACCAUGGAAGUUGGCCAUGCCCGAAGUCGUUACUCUAACCUUUUGGAAGAGGGCGCCGAAGGCAGGGCUAAUGACUGGGGUGAAGUCGUAACAAGGUAGCCGUAGCGGAAGCUGCGGCUGGAUCACCUCCUAA
rnacentral:rRNA from 1 species